rnacentral:rRNA from 1 species
CCCUUAGAUGUUCGGGGCCGCACGCGCGCUACACUGAAGGAAUCAGCACGUCUUUCUCCUUGUCCGAAAGGACUGGGUAACCCGCUGAACCUCCUUCGUGCUAGGGAUUGGGGCUUGUAAUUCUUCCCCAUGAACGAGGAAUUCCCAGUAAGCGCGAGUCAUAAGCUCGCGUUGAUUACGUCCCUGCCCUUUGUACACACCGCCCGUCGCUACUACCGAUUGGAUGGUUUAGUGAGAUCCUCGGAUUGGUCCCGGCGCGGCCUCUGGUCGUGCCGGAGUGUCGAAAAGAAUGUCGAACUUGAUCAUCUAGAGGAAGUAAAAGUCGUAACA